rnacentral:snRNA from 1 species
AUCACUUCUCGGCCUUUUGGCUAAGAUCAGGUGUAGUUAAGAUCAAGUUUAGUAUCUGUUCUCAUCAGUAAAUGUGGCCUAUGUUGCAAAUUCAAAACGUUAUUUCUAAAAUUUUGCUGUGUCAAAUUACUACAUCUCAAAUUUGACAGGCA